ACAGGUCCAUCUGCUUGGCAUCACACCCAUCCAUCCACAUGGAAACAUCCAUCGGGUCAAAAAGUCAUGGAGAUCGUUAAAUAAAAACCGGUAAUGGAAUUUGUGACUUCUGUGAGUAAGAUGCAGCCUUAAACAGAAGACGAGCUUGAGCUUUUAAAUGAAAGAAAAGCAGCUCUCCAGAAGGGCAAGUCUUAUGAGUGGAGUCUCUUCUACUGUGCAGGAGGACAUACUGGACCUGCUCAGAACAGGCUAGUUCGUGGGUUUGAAACCAUGAAGGAACCACGCCGUCAGAUGGAGUUUCUGGAGCUGUGGAUGAAGAAGCCAGCUGUUGUCCUGAGAGAGAGCAGAUCUGGUCUGCUGGGGAGAGUCCUUGGAAGACGGAUGGACAUGUGCAGCAGUGACCAGGGAAGAGGUUCAGCACUGCCCCGAAUCCCGUCUUCAGCCAAGGACGUUUGAGAAGGAACUGAGGGGGGGUGCAGGAUGCACACGCUCAGGCAGACCCUAACAAUGCCGCGAGACAGCAGCUGAGCGCAUGCAUCCCGACCAGGCACUGCUACUGAAGAUCUCCGAUCAACGGCGCCAGGACGCACCAUCACCUGGAGUGGAGCACCCACAGGGACAGCACUCGAAGAACACCACAUCUUUCCUCAUAGCAUUAGGGUGACUAAAUGUCCCGUUUUUAA